rnacentral:rRNA from 1 species
UACGGGGGGGGGCAAGCGUUUGUUCGGAAUUACUGGGCGUAAAGGGCUCGUAGGUGGCCAACUAAGUCAGACGUGAAAUCCCUCGGCUUAACCGGGGAACUGCGUCUGAUACUGGAUGGCUUGAGUUCGGGAGAGGGAUGCGGAAUUCCAGGUGUAGCGGUGAAAAUGCGUAGAUAUCAGGAGGAACACCGGUGGCGAAGGCGGGGUCUCUGGGCCGAUACUGACGCUGAGGAGCGAAAGCGUGGGGAGCGAACAGG